AUUGAACGCUGGCGGCAUGCCUUACACAUGCAAGUCGAACGGUAACAGGUCUUCGGAUGCUGACGAGUGGCGAACGGGUGAGUAAUACAUCGGAACGUGCCUAGUAGUGGGGGAUAACUACUCGAAAGAGUGGCUAAUACCGCAUGAGAUCUACGGAUGAAAGCAGGGGAUCGCAAGACCUUGUGCUACUAGAGCGGCCGAUGGCGGAUUAGGUAGUUGGUGGGAUAAAAGCUUACCAAGCCGACGAUCUGUAGCUGGUCUGAGAGGGCGAUCAGCCACACUGGGACUGAGACACGGCCCAGACUCCUACGGGAGGCAGCAGUGGGGAAUUUUGGGCAAUGGGCGAAAGCUGAUCCAGCAAUGCCGCGUGCAGGAUGAAGGCCUUCGGGUUGUAAACUGCUUUUGUACGGAACGAAAAGCCCCGGGUUAAUACCCUGGGGUCAUGACGGUACCGUAAGAAUAAGCACCGGCUAACUACGUGCCAGCCGCCGCGGUAA
rnacentral:rRNA from 1 species